GACGAACGCUGGCGGCGUGCCUAAUACAUGCAAGUCGAACGCUUCUUUCCUCCCGAGUGCUUGCACUCGAUUGGAAAGAGGAGUGGCGGACGGGUGAGUAACACGUGGGUAACCUACCCAUCAGAGGGGGAUAACACUUGGAAACAGGUGCUAAUACCGCAUAACAGUUUAUGCCGCAUGGCAUAAGAGUGAAAGGCGCUUUCGGGUGUCGCUGAUGGAUGGACCCGCGGUGCAUUAGCUAGUUGGUGAGGUAACGGCUCACCAAGGCCACGAUGCAUAGCCGACCUGAGAGGGUGAUCGGCCACACUGGGACUGAGACACGGCCCAGACUCCUACGGGAGGCAGCAGUAGGGAAUCUUCGGCAAUGGACGAAAGUCUGACCGAGCAACGCCGCGUGAGUGAAGAAGGUUUUCGGAUCGUAAAACUCUGUUGUUAGAGAAGAACAAGGACGUUAGUAACUGAACGUCCCCUGACGGUAUCUAACCAGAAAGCCACGGCUAACUACGUGCCAGCAGCCGCGGUAAUACGUAGGUGGCAAGCGUUGUCCGAAUUUAUUGGGCGUAAAGCGAGCGCAGGCGGUUUCUUAAGUCUGAUGUGAAAGCCCCCGGCUCAACCGGGGAGGGUCAUUGGAAACUGGGAGACUUGAGUGCAGAAGAGGAGAGUGGAAUUCCAUGUGUAGCGGUGAAAUGCGUAGAUAUAUGGAGGAACACCAGUGGCGAAGGCGGCUCUCUGGUCUGUAACUGACGCUGAGGCUCGAAAGCGUGGGGAGCACACAGGAUUAGAUACCCUGGUAGUCCACGCCGUAAACGAUGAGUGCUAAGUGUUGGAGGGUUUCCGCCCUUCAGUGCUGCAGCAAACGCAUUAAGCACUCCGCCUGGGGAGUACGACCGCAAGGUUGAAACUCAAAGGAAUUGACGGGGGCCCGCACAAGCGGUGGAGCAUGUGGUUUAAUUCGAAGCAACGCGAAGAACCUUACCAGGUCUUGACAUCCUUUGACCACUCUAGAGAUAGAGCUUUCCCUUCGGGGACAAAGUGACAGGUGGUGCAUGGUUGUCGUCAGCUCGUGUCGUGAGAUGUUGGGUUAAGUCCCGCAACGAGCGCAACCCUUAUUGUUAGUUGCCAUCAUUUAGUUGGGCACUCUAGCGAGACUGCCGGUGACAAACCGGAGGAAGGUGGGGAUGACGUCAAAUCAUCAUGCCCCUUAUGACCUGGGCUACACACGUGCUACAAUGGGAAGUACAACGAGUCGCUAGACCGCGAGGUCAUGCAAAUCUCUUAAAGCUUCUCUCAGUUCGGAUUGCAGGCUGCAACUCGCCUGCAUGAAGCCGGAAUCGCUAGUAAUCGCGGAUCAGCACGCCGCGGUGAAUACGUUCCCGGGCCU
rnacentral:rRNA from 1 species